AGUGAACGCUGGCGGUAGGCCUAACACAUGCCAGUCGAACGGCAGCACAGUAAGAGCUUGCUCUUACGGGUGGCGAGUGGCGGACGGGUGAGAAAUAGAUCGGAAUCUACUUUUUCGUGGGGGAUAACGUAGGGAAACUUACGCUAAUACCGCAUAUGACCUACGGGUGAAAGCAGGGGAGAUUCGGACCUUUCGCGAUUGAAUGAGCCGAUGUCGGAUUAGCUAGUUGGCGGGGUAACGGCCCACCAAGGCGACGAUCCGUAGCUGAUCUGAGAGGAUGAUCAGCCACACUGGAACUGAGACACGGUCCAGACUCCUACGGGAGGCAGCAGUGGGGAAUAUUGGACAAUGGGCGCAAGCCUGAUGCAGCAAUACCGCGUGAGUGAAGAAGGCCUUCGGGUUGUAAAGCCCUUUUGUUAGGAAAGAAAAGCAGCAUGUUAAUACCCCGCUGUUCUGACGGUACCCAAAGAAUAAGCCACGGCUAACUUCGUG
rnacentral:rRNA from 1 species